UCAUUUUCUCUUCAUUUCCUCUUCAUUUCUUCAAGCUAAAUCAAAAGGGAGUGUGCUUAGGAGGAUUAUAUCCAAGAAAACAAAUUAAAUGACAACUUAGAGAGUUAUAGAGCUUGAGUGAAACAAAGAGAAGAAGCUGGAAAUUGGAAGAGGAGGACAUGAUUUUUGUAAAUUUUUGCAAGAAUUCAUUGAAAUAAGUUAAAGUAGCAAAGACUUCUUUUGAGGGCUGUCACCGGAGGAACAUUUCUGGAAAAUCACCCUUCAAGACAGCCUUGUUCGUCGGUCGUUAUAUCAUCGUUUCACCGUUGGAUUGGUCUGGAUUUUGGAUAUGUUGUUCAUCCAGAUGUUAUAUAAAUUCUGAACGGUUUGGAUCGGAAAAGAACACUCCUACCAGAAAUUGUACUUCCCGAACAGCAGGUCUCCAAAUUUCAAGAGAAGCAUUCACUCGACUUCUCAGGAGCUCGUACAUAGUAGGAGCUUAAGGAGGGACUGCAGGAGGGGCACAACAACAACAAGGAAGAGCGAGUUGAGCUUCUGCAGCUGGAUGGAGGCAAAUAUCGUAUCGCUUGGGACAUGAGAAUAGAAGUUCAUUAACCAUGGUCCUUCAGAUUCACGCCAGGAGUAGCGUUUUAGGUCCUCUAGUCUCCUUUUGUAUUAUUGAAUAAGUAGAUGAACAUUAAUGUAUUUUGUCUUUAAGGAACUAAAUGACUUAAUAUGUAAUAGUACUUCUUUUACAUUAAGUGUCGGACAUAAAAAUGUAUUAUUAUGUAUUUGUAAAUCUUAGUUUGUUUACUUGCAAUUAUUAUGAAUUAUGUGUGUUAAUGGGAAAGAAAUGAGCAUGCGAAAUGUGAGGCAUGUACCAUGAA